CAGGCUGCAACUCGCCUGCAUGAAGUCGGAAUUGCUAGUAAUCGCGGAUCAGCAUGCCGCGGUGAAUACGUUCCCGGGCCUUGUACACACCGCCCGUCACACCAUGGGAGCCGGUAAUACCCGAAGUCAGUAGUCCAACCUCGUGAGGACGCUGCCGAAGGUAGGAUUGGCGACUGGGGUGAAGUCGUAACAAGGUAAC
rnacentral:rRNA from 1 species